GGGAGUGGCAGACGGGUGAGUAACGCGUGGGAACAUACCCUUUCCUGCGGAAUAGCUCCGGGAAACUGGAAUUAAUACCGCAUACGCCCUACGGGGGAAAGAUUUAUCGGGGAAGGAUUGGCCCGCGUUGGAUUAGCUAGUUGGUGGGGUAAAGGCCUACCAAGGCGACGAUCCAUAGCUGGUCUGAGAGGAUGAUCAGCCACAUUGGGACUGAGACACGGCCCAAACUCCUACGGGAGGCAGCAGUGGGGAAUAUUGGACAAUGGGCGCAAGCCUGAUCCAGCCAUGCCGCGUGAGUGAUGAAGGCCUUAGGGUUGUAAAGCUCUUUCACCGGAGAAGAUAAUGACGGUAUCCGGAGAAGAAGCCCCGGCUAACUUCGUGCCAGCAGCCGCGGUAAUACGAAGGGGGCUAGCGUUGUUCGGAAUUACUGGGCGUAAAGCGCACGUAGGCGGAUAUUUAAGUCAGGGGUGAAAUCCCAGAGCUCAACUCUGGAACUGCCUUUGAUACUGGGUAUCUUGAGUAUGGAAGAGGUAAGUGGAAUUCCGAGUGUAGAGGUGAAAUUCGUAGAUAUUCGGAGGAACACCAGUGGCGAAGGCGGCUUACUGGUCCAUUACUGACGCUGAGGUGCGAAAGCGGGAGCAAACAGGAUUAGAUACCCUGGUAGUCCACGCCGU
rnacentral:rRNA from 2 species